rnacentral:rRNA from 1 species
CCUACGGGAGGCAGCAGUGGGGAAUUUUGGACAAUGGGCGCAAGCCUGAUCCAGCAAUGCCGCGUGCAGGACGAAGGCCUUCGGGUUGUAAACUGCUUUUGUACGGAGCGAAACGGUCUGGGUUAAUACCCUGGGCUAAUGACGGUACCGUAAGAAUAAGCACCGGCUAACUACGUGCCAGCAGCCGCGGUAAUACGUAGGGUGCGAGCGUUAAUCGGAAUUACUGGGCGUAAAGCGUGCGCAGGCGGUUUUGUAAGACAGGCGUGAAAUCCCCGGGCUCAACCUGGGAAUGGCGCUUGUGACUGCAAAGCUGGAGUGCGGCAGAGGGGGAUGGAAUUCCGCGUGUAGCAGUGAAAUGCGUAGAUAUGCGGAGGAACACCGAUGGCGAAGGCAAUCCCCUGGGCCUGCACUGACGCUCAUGCACGAAAGCGUGGGGAGCAAACAGGAUUAGAUACCCUGGUAGUCC